rnacentral:rRNA from 1 species
AUUGAACGCUGGCGGCAGGCUUAACACAUGCAAGUCGAGCGGGGUGAUGGUGCUUGCACUAUCACUUAGCGGCGGACGGGUGAGUAAUGCUUAUGAAUCUGCCUAUUAGUGGGGGACAACAUCUCGAAAGGGAUGCUAAUACCGCAUACGUCCUCUGGGAGAAAGCAGCGGAUCACUUGUGACCUUGCGCUAAUAGAUGAGCCUACGUCGGAUUAGCUAGUUGGUGGGGUAAAGGCCUACCAAGGCGACGAUCUGUAGCGGGUCUGAGAGGAUGAUCCGGCACACUGGGACUGAGAAACGGCCCAGACUCCUACGGGAGGCAGCAGUGGGGAAUAUUGGACAAUGGGGGGAACCCUGAUCCAGCCAUGCCGCGUGUGUGAAGAAGGCCUUAUGGUUGUAAAGCACUUUAAGCGAGGAGGAGGCUCUUUUGGUUAAUACCCAAGAUGAGUGGACGUUACUCGCAGAAUAAGCACCGGCUAACUCUGUGCCAGCCGCCGCCGUAA